AGUGGCGAACGGGUGAGUAAUACAUCGGAACAUGUCCUGUAGUGGGGGAUAGCCCGGCGAAAGCCGGAUUAAUACCGCAUACGAUCUGAGGAUGAAAGCGGGGGACCUUCGGGCCUCGCGCUAUAGGGUUGGCCGAUGGCUGAUUAGCUAGUUGGUGGGGUAAAGGCCUACCAAGGCGACGAUCAGUAGCUGGUCUGAGAGGACGACCAGCCACACUGGGACUGAGACACGGCCCAGACUCCUACGGGAGGCAGCAGUGGGGAAUUUUGGACAAUGGGCGAAAGCCUGAUCCAGCAAUGCCGCGUGUGUGAAGAAGGCCUUCGGGUUGUAAAGCACUUUUGUCCGGAAAGAAAUCCUUGGUUCUAAUAUAGCCGGGGGAUGACGGUACCGGAAGAAUAAGCACCGGCUAACUACGUGCCAGCAGCCGCGGUAAUACGUAGGGUGCAAGCGUUAAUCGGAAUUACUGGGCGUAAAGCGUGCGCAGGCGGUUUGCUAAGACCGAUGUGAAAUCCCCGGGCUCAACCUGGGAACUGCAUUGGUGACUGGCAGGCUAGAGUAUGGCAGAGGGGGGUAGAAUUCCACGUGUAGCAGUGAAAUGCGUAGAGAUGUGGAGGAAUACCGAUGGCGAANGCAGCCCCCUGGGCCAAUACUGACGCUCAUGCACGAAAGCGUGGGGAGCAAACANGAUUAGAUACCCUGGUAGUCCACGCCCUAAACGAUGUCAACUAGUUGUUGGGGAUUCAUUUCCUUAGUAACGUANCUAACGCGUGAAGUUGACCGCCUGGGGAGUACGGUCGCAAGAUUAAAACUCAAAGGAAUUGACNGGGNCCC
rnacentral:rRNA from 1 species